ACGGAUUUUUAGUUGCAAUACAUUUUAUAACUAAAAGUAAUAGAUUGUAAAUUGUGACUAAAACUAUAUUAAUAAUAAUUUGUGAUUAAGUAUAAUGUUUUUAAUCAUAUAAAAUUUUUAUUGUAAUUAAAAGUAAUAUUUAAUUACAUAAAAUAUAUGUUGCGACUAGAAUGUUACAGCAGAGUAACUUACUUGUUGUUGUGAGUUUUCAAAUUAGAGUUUAAAAUCUGGAAUUCUUACCAUUUAAGCAAUCACGAUGUUUAUGUCCAUUUUGACACUCAAUAUAUUUUAUAAUUUUUAUAAUCAUUUUAGGAUGAUUCUUCUAUGGAGGCUUCACUUUAAGCCCUAUUGGUGGGCUUCUCAGUGUUUCUCGACCCGUAAACAGUUUUGUGCGAUUUUUUUUAAGGCUGUGUAUGUUGUAGCUAUUUAGAGUAUCUUGCAAAUUUUCAGAAAAUUCUGAAUAGUUUACAGUACCGAAAACUAGGUUCAAACAUGUUUUUCACGCGCAUAAAAAAAAUUAGUCACGCGUGCAAUAACGUGUUUUAAUUUAGUUUUUGGUACUGUAAAUUAUUUGAAAUUUUAUGAAGAUUUGCAAGGUGCUCUAAAUAGCUACAAUAUACAUAAUCAUAAACAAAAUCGCGCCGAAAACUAUUUACGGGUCGAGAACACUAAGAGUCCCACUGAUAGGGCUUAGAGUUUAAAAUCUCAAAUUCUUACCAUUUAAGCAAUCACGAUGUUUAUGUCCAUCUUGACACUCAAUAUAUUUUAUAAUUUUUAUAAUCAUUUUAUAUUUACACUAGAGUAAAAAAUAGACCAAAUAGGGCUGGCUAGACUCCUAAUUUCAAAAUAGGCUGCUCAUAGUAAUAGGGUCCAAAGCCCUAAGUUUUCAAAUAAAAGGUUUAGGUAUAAAAUUGAUGAAUAAGAGCUCUUUUCAAAAUUAUUGGAGUUAAUAUUUAAUUGUUUAAAUAAUCAUCUUAGAAAUACUUUUAUUAUAUUGGAAUUGAUAUCUAAGAUGCUUAAAUCAUUUUUUAUUUAUUUUAAAUUGACUAAGGGGUCUUUAAUUAUCACAUAGGAAAAUUUUGGGAAAACUAACUGUAUUGUGAUCUUAAUAUAAUGAAAAUAAUUAAUUAUAAUUUAUUGAUGUAUUAUGGACUUAGAAUAAAGGAUUGGGUGGUAUAGAACCGAGAUAAGUUCUUUUAUAUAGAAGCAUUAGUGGAGUGACGCGAGACUUUAGGCCGAGGCCAUAAUAGUUUGUAAUCCCGAUACUUUAAGACGACUUGUUUAAGCACGAAUUAUAUAUAAAGGCUCGUUAGAGAGUUCUAAAAGCUCAUGUUGGAUUGGAUAAUUAUAGUAACAAUUUAAUAGUAAAGCUAAAUACUCAAAAUAACUAUUGUGUGAUUCCCAUAAUUAUUUUUGAAUAUGUUAUUGGAAACAGUAACAGCUAAGAAGGAUGGGUUUGACCAACUGAAUAUAUGGAUUUUGGGAAUACUAAAAGGUUUAGGGGUGUUUGUUUUGAGUAGUUGAGUUGUAUUGGAAAGUGUAGAUGAGUUUAGAAUUGAGGAAAUAUUAAAUUUUUGUGUACAAAAAGUUUCACUUUACCUUUAAAAUAGAUGUGGGAUCUAUACAAAAUUUGUAUUACAAAUUAAUCACUUUACCCCCUUAAAAUUUAAACCAAACGUAGGAAUAGUUUUAGAUUCCUAUUCCCACCUUUACUUUACCCCAUACCAAACACCCCCUCACCCCCUUCGAGGGUAAGUCAAUGAUAAGUGUAAUUUUGACCAUAUAUGUGUAGUUUCCUUAUGCUAAUUAUUGUUAGUUUUUAGUUAUUUAAUCAUUUUAAUUUUGAUUUGGUAUUUUUGUAAUUUGUAGGCUAAAAGGGAAUUCGAGAGUUAAAGUGACAUUUAUUAUUAUUAAGAUAGAUUGAGAUUUAGUUAAUACUUCUAUGAAUUUAUUUGAUGUAUUUUUAUUUGGAAAUAAUUAAUUUUAAUUUGAUUUAUCUUUUUAUAGAAAAAUGUUGUACUUUGUAGAGAAAAAAACAAAUUGUCAAAAGAAGAGAAGCCUAAUUUGCAACAACACUUAUAGUAUGCACUUUAUAUGUUACAUGGAUAUUUGAGAAGUAUUUCAAAAUAUUUAGUUAAAAUAUUAUAUUUAAUCAAGAGGAAAAUAAUAGAAGAUGUUUAUUUGAAUUGAUUGAGAAGAUGAAUGAUAAUUCAAACAUAAUUUGUUAGAGAAUAUAUGAGAUAUUUUGAUUCUUAGACUGCUUUGCUAUUUGGAUCAUAUCUCUCUACUCCCAUAUUGGACUUUCAAGAUCUUAAAGGCGUUGGAAAGCUUAUUCAAAUCCCUACAAAUUGUGUGUACAGAGCAAAGUCAAACUCGAAAGUUUACUAGGUUAAAUUUGACCUACAAGAUAACUAAUCCUAAAGAUACGAGAUUUGAAAUUCAAGAGUUAUUUUGGAGCUUGAUCAACCACCUUAGCCCUAUAAAUAGAAGUGUUUAGUCUCCUAGAAAGACAUUUUUUUAUUCUUAGUAAAUUUUAUUCUUUUUAUUUACUUAUGUUUAGCUAAAUUUUAUUUGGUUAAUGGUGAUUUCAAAGCUCUAAUCGUGAUUUUGAUUUUUUAAUCAUUUUCAUUGUUAUCUAUUCUCAAUAAUCAAACUGAUUAUAUUAUUCUGUGCUUAAUUUCAUGAUUAUUGUUUUGAUCUUAUUUAGUAGAGCUUCUAAAUAGGAAUUUGAUUUAGUCUACUAUCAUCUUAUGGUUUUUAUUCACCUAAUCAUUUAAAACCUUAGGUUAUUGCUGAUAAACAUCUGCCUUUUCAUUUCAUUAGUACUUUGGUAAUUUGGGCAUGUGAUGUCAAUUUGGUAAUUUAAUAAUCUUAAGGGUAUUUUUGUAAUUUUGUGAAAUUAUGUAUUAUGUGACUAUAUGAAUAUGUUUAUGAGAUAUUUAUAUUUGUGUAAGAUAUUUUACGUUGGAAAAUACAGAAGGUGCUCAGGUUAUGAGUAAAAGUGACGAAUCACGGUUUCCUUCAAGUGUUCUGGGCUUUAUUAUCAAGAAUUAUUGAAAGAUUGGCCAUAAUGGAAUAAAGAUAAAUUAUCUGGAAUAAGUUAAUUAUGGAUUAUAAAAACUAAUAGUUUAGUGGGGAGUUACUGAAAAGGGUUCAAUGAAAUUGUUAGAAUGGCUUAGAAUCAUUAUAAAUAGAAAGAGCGAAACUAGGGUUAGGGUUAGACUCACAAUUUGAAUUUGGUGGCUGCUCUAUACAUGAUCAAAGGAGAGAAUUCCCUCUCUCACUCUCUCUAAACUAGGACUCAAGAUCUAAGGAAGAAGAAGAAUGAGGAUCUCUUCAUAUACGUAUUGAUCACUAGGAACUCGUGCGGGGCUCAUUUAGGAUGCUUUGGGAGGAGUUUUUCAUGGCUUAGGUUGCUCUACAUGAUCUUGGACUCGGCAAGGCACUUGAAGGGAGGUGAUUGUGUCGCUACUGGACCUGGGGUGUCAUAUAUUAGUUUUGUUUCGUGGCGACGGGUGAUGUCCAAUCCGCAAAUGAAAUGUAUAUCAUGAGAGCCACUCAACCUUCUUACAGUCAAAGGGACGCAAACGCCAAAGUUUUAUUUAACAUUUUUAUUCAUGUGGUUUUAAUUUGUUUAUUAUUAAUGGAGACCGAAAAUAGUUUUGUUUGAUUACUUGCAUGUAAGAUAAAUAUUUUAUUUUAAAUUAUGGAUAUUCAAAUGCUGCAUAUUUUU